UACGUAGGGGGCAAGCGUUGUCCGGAAUCAUUGGGCGUAAAGAGCGUGUAGGCGGCCCGGUAAGUCCGCUGUGAAAGUCCAGGGCUCAACCCUGGGAUGCCGGUGGAUACUGUCGGGCUCGAGUCCGGAAGAGGAGUGUGGAAUUCCUGGUGUAGCGGUGAAAUGCGCAGAUAUCAGGAGGAACACCGAUGGCGAAGGCAGGUCUCUGGGCCAUAACUGACGCUGAGAAGCGAAAGCAUGGGGAGCGAACAGG
rnacentral:rRNA from 1 species